rnacentral:rRNA from 14 species
GAGGUGUUGGGUUAAGUCCCGCAACGAGCGCAACCCUCGCCUUCAGUUGCCAGCAUUUAGUUGGGCACUCUAAAGAAACUGCCCGUGAUAAGCGGGAGGAAGGUGUGGAUGACGUCAAGUCCUCAUGGCCCUUAUGGGUUGGGCUACACACGUGCUACAAUGGCGGCGACAGAGGGCAGCGACCCCGCGAGGGUGAGCUAAUCUCCAAAAACCGUCUCAGUUCGGAUUGCACUCUGCAACUCGAGUGCAUGAAGUUGGAAUCGCUAGUAAUCGUGGAUCAGCAUGCCA